AUUGAACGCUGGCGGCAGGCCUAACACAUGCAAGUCGAACGAGUGGCGGACGGGUGAGUAAGGUCUGGGAAACUGACCGAUGGAGGGGGAUAAAUACUGGAAACGGAAGCUAAUACCGCAUACAAUCGGAUGUGCCCAGAUGGGAUUAGCUAGUAGGUGGGGUAACGGCUCAACAAGGCGACGAUCCCUAGCUGGUCUGAGAGGAUGACCAGCCACAAUGGAACUGCGACACGGUCCAGACUCCUACGGGCGGCAGCAUUGGGGAAUAUUGCACAAUGGGGGCAAGCCUGAUGCAGCCAUGCCGCGUGUAUGAAGAAGGCCUUCGGAUUGUAAAGUACUUUCAGCGGGGAGGCGUUAUCCGCAGAAGAAGCACCGGCUAACUCCGUGCCAGCAGCCGCGGUAAUUC
rnacentral:rRNA from 1 species